rnacentral:rRNA from 1 species
AGGGAUGAGAUAACCGCGAUGAACUUGCGCCGGCGGAGGCGGCCGGCUGGCAUGCCCCCCAUGGUCAAUUACGAGGGCGGGGUGCUUGAAAAGGAGGAGAAGUCGCAGUCCAUGCAGCUGAC